rnacentral:tRNA from 1 species
GGGGCGGAGUAGCCAAG